AGUGAACGCUGGCGGUAGGCCUAACACAUGCAAGUCGAACGGCAGCACAGUAAGAGCUUGCUCUUACGGGUGGCGAGUGGCGGACGGGUUAGGAAUACAUCGUAAUCUACUUUUUCGUGGGGGAUAACGUAGGGAAACUUACGCUAAUACCGCAUACGACCUACGGGUGAAAGCAGGGGAUCUUCGUACCUUGCGCGAUUUAAUUAGCCGAUGUCGGAUUAGCUAGUUGGCGGGGUAAAGGCCCACCAAGGCGACGAUCCGUAGCUGGUCUGAGAGGAUGAUCAGCCACACUGGAACUGAGACACGGUCCAGACUCCUACGGGAGGCAGCAGUGGGGAAUAUUGGACAAUGGGCGCAAGCCUGAUCCAGCCAUACCGCGUGGGUGAAGAAGGCCUUCGGGUUGUAAAGCCCUUUUGUUGGGAAAGAAAAGCAGCAGGUUAAUACCCCGCUGUUCUGACGGUACCCAAAGAAUAAGCACCGGCUAACUUCGUG
rnacentral:rRNA from 1 species